UGCCGGCAGCCGCGAGGGCCCGUGGGCGGACGGGUGGGCCGGCCGCCGAGGUGGGGAGAGCCGCGGGCCGCCACUGAGGCUGGAGGUGAGCCGGAAUGAGGCCAGACCGCGACUCUCCUUCCUCCCGAAGGAAACUUUCCCACGGUUCCGCCGAGGUGCAGUCCUCAGCCGGGAGAAGCUGCUGGUGCCCGGUGCGGGAUCUCCAAGUUGAUUCUUGACUCUCAAGCAGCCUCACCUGUGGGGGCCAUCCCACAUGCCCUAGGCCAACCUCUGGUUCCCAGAUUUACCAAAUAAAAAUACAGGAUGGCAGCUACCCAGUGCAUCUCCCAUCUGGAUGUGACUGUCUCAAAGUCUUGUAGUAUGGGAACAUUGACAUUACUGUGAAAAAGCCAAUACCACUCAAAAACAAAGGAGCCAAUCAACUCAGAUGGCCUCGUCUCCCACAAACUAAGGAUUUAGAUUACUGUUGCAAGUCUGCUUUGGACAUUCUGUUUAUUCUGAGAAGAAAUACCCUGUAUGGAUAGAAGAGACCCCAUCUAAAGAGCCCCGGACUGAUUCUGACCCAAACCCAAGGGUUUAAGUGGAACCAAAACAUCCGAAGGAAUGCUGCCAGAAUGACUGACUAUGAUACCAGAUAGCUUCCUGUUUUUCCUGGCUGACAAUCCUCCUGUGUACAGAGUCUGAUUCCUCAUCCAUCAGUAGCAGGUUCUGGGGCCAACCCAGGAGAUUUCAUUCCUUCCCUCUUAGUGUCUAAUUUCGACUCUUCCUUGAUAACCAAUAAAAUCUGUAUCACAAAGCUUAUUCUCUCUAAUUGGCUUUUUAACUUUCUCUCUAGGCAGGUCUGGAUUUGUCCCACUAGCUGAUGUCCACUGUAAGGGAGGUAUUCUUUGUGCCAUAGAAGCCUUGGAAAUGGAAACAGCAGUGCAAUCUGGUCACACAUGACCGAGUAAACCUAUUGAUCCAAAGGCCAAAUGAUCAAUUUUGUUUGAAAGACAAGUAGGCUAACUGGGAAAAAAAGAUUCUUCUUCUAGGAGCCCCAUUCAAGAGCACACUGGCUCCACAUGUUUAGUCUUGGUUCUGUCUUUGUAUAACCAUAGCACUCGAAGGACUUGACCAGGGAUGUUGGUGUAGGGAGUCUUUAAAGCUAGUAAUAUGGAGCCUUGGUGGAGUUGAUUCUCCACUGAUCUCUGAAGUUGACUUGAUUUCAUCCAUUCUAGCUUUAAGGCCACUACUAUCUUCUGGUUCUGCAACUUCCAUUCUCAUCAGCUAAAAAGAAGCUAUGGGAUCAAAAGUCUAAAGGGUGAGGAUAUCUGAAAUUUUUCCUAUUUUACCACUCACUUUCAGUGUUAUGUUUCAGUUUUCCUCAACUAAAAUAGGAAAAUUAUCCCAGGAAUAUAGUUAAAAUAACAUCUGUGAGACAAUUUGAGAGUCUUAGAAUCUUUUUUUUUUCAAGAUUUUUUUUUAUUUUUAAGUAAUUAUACCCAACAUGGGGUUCGAACUUACAACCCCAAGGUCGACAGUUGCAUGCUCUACCUGAGCCAGCCAGGCGCCCCUAGAAUCUUUAAAUUAGAGGAAAUCUUAGAAGUCAUUUAACCUGGUAUUUCCCAACCAGAGGAAUAAUUUUUUUUUCCGAAUUCAUUUCCUUUAUCCCCAACCCUCCUCCUGAAAAGCCUCUCUCUUCCUUCUUCCUCAACCCCUCCUGGUAUCCAAGGUAGAGAACUGAUCUAGUUUGCACAAUAUAUUUCAUGUGCUUAGGGUUGUGAAACAGUGCCCUAAUUCAGCUCCCUAUUUCAUGCAAUAGUCAUUCCAACAGUCCCAACAAGUUGAUAUCUCGCUUUUACUUGAGUAACUCAUGUUGGGAAAGUUGCCACCUCAGGCAACCCAUUCCAGUUUUGGACAGCAGUGGUUUGUCAGGGAGUUUUUCAUUAUUUGAACUGGAACUCCCCCACUGUAUCUUCCACCCGUUGGUCCCAGCUCUGCCCUUUGAAACCACAGGGAAGUUGUCUAAUCCCUUUAUAAAGGGCAGAAGGGAAUACCCAGGAUUGUUAUUGUUAACCUGUCACAGUAGUUCAGACCUGACCUGAAUGAUUGUAUUACAGAUGUCCUGUGCUUUGUACACUAGCUAUGUUCCUAACACAUUGUGUAAAUCUAGUUGUGUGUGAAUCAAAUCAUUUUAGACACACUGAGACGUUGACUGUCUAAAAGAAAUCCUGUUACCUGUCCUUUCAUAAACUGAAGAACUUUGUUAUAAUGCAAAGAACCUCCCCAUUAAACUUUUCUGCAAAUCUA